rnacentral:lncRNA from 1 species
GGAGGACGGGGGACCCACCAUAUGCACAGGAGGCCACCUAGGGAACACGGAGGGAGGGACUCUGGCCCCCAGAACGCAGGCCCCAGCCCGGAAGGCGACCCCUAGCGGCAGCCUAGGGAAGCCCCUAGUGGGAAUGAGGCCCCGCGGGGUGUCUGGACUUCCGUAUCCGGGUCUCAAGAGACUGGCGGGGCGGGGCGUGGCGAGGGGGCCUCGGCGUCGGCGUGGGCGUCGGCGUGGGCGUCGGCGUCUUCCGGCCGCGCCUCGAAUCCCGUCAGGCGCGGGAAGGGCGCAGAGCCUCGUGGGGCUUCGAGGGGCUCUGCGAGCUCUGCAGUUGAGGCCUUGGUCUGAGGCAGGAGUCCUGAGGUCACAGAGCAGAGGAGGCGAGGCCGCGUGCCAGUCGGUUGUCCAGGCGAGGGUUUGGCGACCAUCAUGCCCCUGCGUCAGAGGAGUGAGCUCUGCAAGCUUAAGGAGGAGCCAAGAGAGGUCCCGCUGCCAUGGGAUGCACCGCUGCCAGAGCCUGAGGACACGGAGGUGGAGGAGGUGGAGGUGGAGGAGGUGGAGUUGGAGGUGGAGUUGGAGGAGGUGGAGUUGGAGGAGGUGGAG